rnacentral:rRNA from 1 species
GAGUUUGAUCGUGGCUCAGGAUGAACGCUGGCGGCGUGCCUAAUACAUGCAAGUCGUACGAACAGCGGAAAGUGCUUGCACUUUCCAUGUAAGUGGCGAACGGGUGAGUAACACGUGAAUAACCUACCUCAAAGUCUGGGAUAACCAAUUGGAAACAGUGACUAAUACCGGAUAAAACCUAGUAGCACAUGCUACAAGGUUAAAAGCUGCGUUUGCAGCGCUUUAAGAUGGAUUCGC